rnacentral:rRNA from 1 species
GACGAACCGUGCGAACGUUAUUCGGAAUCACUGGGCUUAAAGCGCGUGUAGGCGGGUCGGCACGUCGGUCGCUGAAAGCCCCCGGCUCAACCGGGGAACGGGCGCCGAUACGACCGGCCUGGAGGGACGUAGGGGGACCUGGAACUUCCGGUGGAGCGGUGAAAUGCGUUGAGAUCGGAAGGAACGCCCGUGGCGAAAGCGAGGUCCUGGACGGUUUCUGACGCUGAGACGCGAAAGCCAGGGGAGCGAACGGG